rnacentral:rRNA from 1 species
AGAGUUUGAUCCUGGCUCAGGACGAACGCUGGCGGCGUGCUUAACACAUGCAAGUCGAACGGAAAGGCCCUGCUUUUGUGGGGUGCUCGAGUGGCGAACGGGUGAGUAACACGUGAGUAACCUGCCCUUGACUUUGGGAUAACUUCAGGAAACUGGGGCUAAUACCGGAUAGGAGCUCCUGCUGCAUGGUGGGGGUUGGAAAGUUUCGGCGGUUGGGGAUGGACUCGCGGCUUAUCAGCUUGUUGGUGGGGUAGUGGCUUACCAAGGCUUUGACGGGUAGCCGGCCUGAGAGGGUGACCGGCCACAUUGGGACUGAGAUACGGCCCAGACUCCUACGGGAGGCAGCAGUGGGGAAUAUUGCACAAUGGGCGGAAGCCUGAUGCAGCAACGCCGCGUGCGGGAUGAUGGCCUUCGGGUUGUAAACCGCUUUCGCCUGUGACGAAGCGUGAGUGACGGUAAUGGGUAAAGAAGCACCGGCUAACUACGUG